GAUGAACGCUGGCGGCGUGCCUAAUACAUGCAAGUCGAGCGAACAGACGAGGAGCUUGCUCCUCUGACGUUAGCGGCGGACGGGUGAGUAACACGUGGAUAACCUACCUAUAAGACUGGGAUAACUUCGGGAAACCGGAGCUAAUACCGGAUAAUAUAUUGAACCGCAUGGUUCAAUAGUGAAAGACGGUUUUGCUGUCACUUAUAGAUGGAUCCGCGCCGCAUUAGCUAGUUGGUAAGGUAACGGCUUACCAAGGCAACGAUGCGUAGCCGACCUGAGAGGGUGAUCGGCCACACUGGAACUGAGACACGGUCCAGACUCCUGCGGGAGGCAGCAGUAGGGAAUCGUCCGCAAUGGGCGAAAGCCUGACGGAGCAACGCCGCGUGAGUGAUGAAGGUCUUCGGAGCGUAAAACUCUGUUAUUAGGGAAGAACAAAUGUGUAAGUAACUAUGCACGUCUUGACGGUACCUAAUCAGAAAGCCACGGCUAACUACGUG
rnacentral:rRNA from 1 species